UGGCGGCGUGCCUAACACAUGCAAGUCGAGCGAGGAGAUUCCUCGGGAUGAUCCUAGCGGCGGACGGGUGAGUAACACGUGGGCAACCUGCCUCAUAGAGAGGAAUAGCCUUCCGAAAGGGAGAUUAAUACCUCAUAACAUUGCAGUUUCGCAUGGAACAGCAAUUAAGGGAGCAAUCCACUAUGAGAUGGGCCCGCGGCGCAUUAGCUAGUUGGUGAGGUAACGGCUCACCAAGGCGACGAUGCGUAGCCGACCUGAGAGGGUGAUCGGCCACAUUGGGACUGAGACACGGCCCAGACUCCUACGGGAGGCAGCAGUGGGGAAUAUUGCACAAUGGGGGAAACCCUGAUGGCCAGCAACGCCGCGUGAGUGAUGACGGCCUUCGGGUUGUAAAGCUCUGUCUUCAGGGACGAUAAUGACGGUACCUGAGGAGGAAGCCACGGCUAACUACGUGCCAGCCGCCGC
rnacentral:rRNA from 1 species